rnacentral:rRNA from 1 species
UACGAAGGGGGCUAGCGUUGUUCGGAAUUACUGGGCGUAAAGCGCACGUAGGCGGGUCGUUAAGUCAGGGGUGAAAUCCCAGAGCUCAACUCUGGAACUGCCUUUGAUACUGGCGACCUAGAGUUCGGAAGAGGUUAGUGGAAUUCCCAGUGUAGUGGUGAAAUACGUAGAGAUUGGGAAGAACACCAGUGGCGAAGGCGGCUAUCUGGACGGUUUCUGACACUAAGACUCGAAAGCGUGGGGAGCAAACAGG